CCAAAAUGGCGCCCUGGAGCUGGGCUGAAAGUGCCACGUGACCCCACCCCCCUCUUUCCAAAGCACUCCACGUCUCCUCCAAUAAGGAGUGAUCUUGACCGGGCGGGAGAGCCGGAUUGUACCUUGACAUAGGGAGGAGGAGAUUGUCAUCCUGUCGGCUUUUAUGAAGAGGAGCUCAAGCGGAGUGUCGGUGCCUGCAAUAUAAGAAGCAUGUCUUCAGUCUGAUUGAGUUGUCUCUUAGCACUAUGCUGAACAUGGAGAACAGAAAUGAAAGCUGAGAAAUGUCUGAGAUGGAUACCAAAGGAAGCUUAGCGUCAGUACCUUGAGAGGACAAGUGUCUGCGCUUUUGGAGUUAACUGACAGGUGCUGGGCAGAAGAACCCCUGGUUAUUUGUAUGUUUAAUGCAUUGAAAAAAGUGUGUCCAGCGAGAUGACUGAGAAUAUCUCGAUGGGAUUUGCCUUUAAUCCUCAAGAUCUUAACGUCGGCUCCUUUCGAACCUCUUGAGAAUGCCUCGGACUGGCACGCCGCUUUAAAAGUUUUGUUCCUUGCGGCAAUUACUUCAGCUUGCAGAGUGGGGAAAAUUCAUUCCCUCUCUGCAAAAGAACCUGAGACUGUCAUCUUUUCUAACAAAGUUAUCUUGAGGUCAGCAUUUGAAUUUCUUCCAAAGGUGGUGUCACAAUUUCACCUGGAUUUAGAAAUAACCUUACCCUCAUUUUGUUAGAAUCCAAAGACUGAGCAGGAACGUCAAUGGCAUACCUUGGAUCUUGUUCAUGUGAUAUCACAUUAUCUGGCCCGUACAGAGUCAUGGAGGAAGAUGGAGAGAGUCUUUGUCAUACCUAGAGGCCCAACAAGGGGUCUGGCUCCUUAGUCGAUGGAUUAUUUGCUGCAUAGUGUUCGCCCUAUCACAAGGCAGGCAGAAAGGUGCCUAGAGACUUAAAGGCUCACUCUACCAGAGCAUUGGCUGCCCCUAGACGGCAGAAGCCAAAGCACCACCUGAUUCAAUUUGUAAGGCUGCAAGAUUCAUCAGACAUUAUAAGUUGAAUGUUUUACUUUCCCAAGAUGUUAGAUUUGGGAGGAAAGUGUUGCAGGCUGUGUUGCAUGCGUAAUAAUUACUAUAAGAAUCAACUGUGUCCCUCCCUUCUUACUAGCUUUGGUUGUUCUCAUGUUGGUGAUAGCUGCCAUGGGUGGCUUGGAAAAUAGAGACAUUUUUUAUUACUUACCGUAAUUUUAAUUUCCAGGUCACCUACCAUGGCAGCACUCACCAACUUCACUCCCUUCUAAGGCUAGGAAACAUAGACAAUGAGGGAGCGGUGUAAGGUGGAUGUUACAGUAUAGUGUGAUGGGGUUAACCCUUUCUUGUCCAGUGACCUGAGGGGUGGGGAAUACUCAUGUUGGUAAGUGCUGUCAUUGUAGGUGACAGUAAGUAAUAAAAAUAAUUCUCUAUUUUUAUGUAUAUAAAAGCUGGAAAGAGUCAAGAGA